rnacentral:ncRNA from 1 species
UAAGGUAGAGGUGCGGCUGCGAUGAUUACCUCUGUACGGGAUUACCAGUCCUAUCGUGCAGAGCGAAAGGCAAUGCCGCCGAAGGACAGUCUCCGGUAAAGUCUGUUCUGGUCACCGGCUCAACAGGUCUGUGACUGUCAUCAUACAAUGAUGGAGAGCUAUCGG